rnacentral:lncRNA from 1 species
CCCAACCCAACCCAACCCAGCCCAACCAUUCUAUGGCUCUGUGAUCCAUAAGGCCCUUUCCAACCCAACCCAAUCCAACCCAACCCUACCGUUCUGUGGCUCUGUGAUCUGUAAGACCCCUUCCAAUCCAACCCAACCAACUCUGGAUCUCUGUGAUCUUCAAGAUCCUUCCCAAACCAGCUCAACCGUUCUAUGUCUCUGUGAUCUUUAAGAUCCUUCCCAGCCCAACCCAUUCUGCGGCUCUGUGACUUAUAAGGUCCCUUCCAACCCAACUCAUUCUAUGAAUCUCCAGUUCCCCAGGCCAGACCAGGCCCCGAGUCCCCUUUCUCGCUGUGGGGUUCCACCUGGGGCACGUGCUCCCACCCCAGGCCGCUCUCCAGGUGAAUUUCCCCAGUGUGCAUGGCCAACUGUGUGGUCUUGGUUGUGCUUCUUCUGUGUUUGUCCGUCUCUGUCCAUCCUGUUGGCUUUUUUUGACCCGUAGUGUGUUUGAACGUAGCUACAUCCACCUGUGUUGCUCCCACGUGUGAUAGCACACCCAGAGCUCUGGGCAGUCUCCUGUUUGAUUUUACUUGUCAUUUUCUGCACAUUGCUGGAUUUCCAAGUCCGUACCCCUCACCGGUGCCCAGCUGGACAGGGCCAGUCCCCGGGAGAGCAGAGUGGCAGCACGUAGGACUCUCAUGCCAGAUGCCACCCACCGCCGCUGGGCUGCCGGUCCCUCCUGGCUGCCAACUGCAGGGAUCAGGUCUGCUUUGCUCCAGGCUGUGCAGCACCGCAGCUUCCAGCAGAGGGUGGGAACUCCGGUGCUGUCUCCCCGGAGAGGUGGUGCAGCCCACGGCUGCAGCUGGGACCAGGCACUGCUCUGGGCAGGGUCGUGCCUCGAUCUUAGCGCAGCACAUCUCACUUUGCUCACCCGUGGUUGGCCAUGGGGGGGCUCCUGUCUCUGUGCACUCUGUCCUGCUGCUGUCACACGGUGUGCUGCAGAGGGGGGAAGCUGUGGGUGUGUGGGCUCCGUGAUGCGGGCAGCGGUUGGGGCCAGUUUAGGGGCUGAGCAGAGCCGGCUGCUGACCCCACGUCGGGACACCACUCAUCAGCAUUCACGUGAUUAGUGCUGUUUGCAGUGCAUCCUCAUUCAGCUGAGCUGACAUUUCAGACAAUGGCACAGCCCGCACGUGUCCGUUUGGGGUCACCCAGCUGCUGCCCCGCUGCUGUCACAGCUUCCAACAGAGUUUUGCCCGAGCUCAGCACGGCCCCGCUGAGCCCUGAGUGCAGGCAGGACAGGGAUGGGCACAGUGUGCAGCCCAGUGGGGCUGUGUUGAUGUGGGCAGUGCCCCCACACAGCCCCCUGGUGCAGCAUUGUUCCCACUGAAAACAUCCAACAGCAAUGGAACGAGGUGUGCAAUCCGCUCUGGCUUUCACUGGUGCUUGCUUAGCUGGGUGCCUUAAAUGUUUUCUUAGCACAGGUUUUGCAUCUGCUUUUUCGGGAAGGGUAAGGGGGUGUAAAACUGGAAUACUUGCUGGUUACACUCAGGAGGCUCAGUCCUACAGCACCCCCGAGGCACAGUCGGUUCAGGUGUGAAAGUGCUCACUGCUGUCUGGGAGUACGUCGUAGAAUUGGGGAGCUGUAGGAUGGUUGUGUUGGAAGGGACCAUAUUGGUCAUAGAGCCAUGGAAUGGUUGGGUUGGAAGGGUCCUUAAAGAUCAUAGAGUCAUAAAGUGAAUGAGUUGGAAGGGUCCUUAAAGAUCAUAGAAUCAUAAAGUGAAUG